UGUAGAGCCACAUAACAAUUUUAGGCAACAGCUGGGAGCAGUUGCAGUUCUUGCACCCAACAGUUUGUUCCCUGCUUCUCCUUCAUUGUGUACAGUAGGUGCUUUGCCACUUAAUCAACUAUGCAAGGAGAUAUUCAACAUCCCACACUCAAGCUAAUGGCGAAGCAGCAAGAAGUGAGUGCUCCCUCUUGCAUAACCAGGAACUUGACCUUCCCGAGGAAGUACUUGCCAACUGCAACAAUUGGCUAACACUGCACAACCCAGGCACCUCAUUGUCACUGUAUCAACAAAAAGUCCAGGGAGUCAUCCACUGCACCCUUUUUAAGUGAAACUGCCACAUCUGACCUGCCUUUAUCUCUGCCCAAUACCACAUCAGCAGAAAAGGAAUCAGAAGCCAGAAUUUUGACAGAAGGAAACCAGCUAAGCUGUAUUGAUCCAGAUGUUAAGGUGUCCACAAUGCAGAAAUGUAAAAGAGGCAUGAACAUGAACACAGGAUGAAAAAUGAAGCAUUCGAUCAGCCAACAUUGAUAACAAUUAGGUAGGAUGAAUGUUUGGGGUUCUGCAUGCUAAAAUAGUGGAACCCUUAAUUGUGAUUCAUGAAAUUAUUAAUUCUUUUUUUAGACAUGAAACCUAAUGUAAUAAUACUUUCAAAUCACUCUAGGAUGAUUCCUGAUGUGCCUAAAUAAAAAAGGGCUUAAGAUGUAUAAGACAUAAUGAAUGUUUAAAAAAACAUGAGCACUUCUGCAGCAAAGAGACGCUUGAAAACUAAUGGUCAAAGGAUGCAUUUUCAGGUUGUAAUAAGGCGAUGCAUGCAGAUGAACACUCAAAGACUUAGAAUGACUUUCCCAAACAUAAUUGAUAAUUCCUACUUUGACUGAAAAUAAAAGGUGAGACUCUUCUCCCUUGCAUCUGUUUUACACCAUUUUGUUCUAGAAAGUUUCCAAGUUGUGAUCCCUUCUCUACAAACUUUUAGGACAACAACAAUAAUAAAAAAGAGUCUUUUUUUGCCCCCCCUCCCCUUGUGAUACAUGGAGUAUCAAGAAUUGUGGCAACUAUAGUAACAUUUCUGUGCUGGAAUCCAAAAACUUCUAAAUUAGCAUCAUAGGCACCCUCAAUUUGACUGCAGACUGAAUUAGGAUUGAAGUGGAUUGAUGGCAAUUUAGAACAAAGGGGUUGCAUCUACACAUGCAAUUCAUGUGAAUCAAUAAACUCCGGAGCAGGAAUUGGAGCGAACUACUCCCACGUGCAGCAUCUACACAUGCACUCGGGACAACAGCAAUUUGAGCUGGCCCAGGCUAGCAUGGGGCACAGGGGGUCAACUCCAGGCUCCAGGUGGUGGUGCUGGGGGGAGGAGGG